CCUACGGGGUGCAGCAGUAGGGAAUAUUGCUCAAUGGGGGAAACCCUGAAGCAGCAACGCCGCGUGGGGGAUGAAGGUUUUCGGAUUGUAAACUCCUUUUGUUAGAGAAGAUAAUGACGGUAUCUUACGAAUAAGCGCCGGCUCACUCCGUGCAAAGAGCCGCGGUAAUACGGAGGGUGCACGCGUUAAUCGGAAUCACUGGGCGUAAAGAGCGCGUAGGCGGGAGAGCAAGUCAGAUGUGAAAUCUUAUGGCUUAACCAUAAGACUGCAUUUGAAACUGUUAUUCUAGAGUAUGGGAGAGGUAGGUGGAAUGCUUGGUGUAGGGGUGAAAUCCGUAGAGAUCAAGAGGAAGACUGAUUGCGAAGGCGGCCUGCUGGAACAUAACUGACGCUGAGGCGCGAAAGCGUGGGGAGCAAACAGGAUUAGAUACCCCAGUAGUC
rnacentral:rRNA from 1 species